rfam:Bacillus glycinifermentans strain GO-13 contig_23, whole genome shotgun sequence.
CAUUCCCUGUCGAUCCGAAGGCUUGCGUUCCUACGUGAGCUACUUAUGUAGGUGAGAUGGGGCUUU